AACGAACGCUGGCGGCGCGCCUAAUACAUGCAAGUCGAGCGAGAAGGUGUAGCAAUACACUUGUAAAGCGGCGAACGGGUGAGGAAUACAUGGGUAAUCUACCAUCGAGUGGGGAAUAACCAACCGAAAGGUUGGCUAAUACCGCGUACGCCUCCGAGUCUUCGGGUUCGGAGGGAAAGCUGCACUGUGAGUGUAGCGCUCUUUGAUGAGCUCAUGUCCUAUCAGCUUGUUGGUAGGGUAACGGCCUACCAAGGCUUUGACGGGUAGCUGGUCUGAGAGGACGAUCAGCCACACUGGCACUGCGACACGGGGCCAGACUCCUACGGGAGGCAGCAGUAAGGAAUAUUGCGCAAUGGGCGAAAGCCUGACGCAGCGACGCCGCGUGGGGAUGAAGGUCUUCGGAUUGUAAACCCCUUUCGGGAGGGAAGAUGGAGCGAGCAAUCGUUCGGACGGUACCUCCAGAAGCAGCCACGGCCAACUUCGUGCCAGCA
rnacentral:rRNA from 1 species